UUUAACGGCCGCGGUAUUUUGACCGUGCAAAGGUAGCGCAAUCAAUUGUCUUUUAAAUGAAGACCCGUAUGAAUGGCAUAACGAGGGCUCAACUGUCUCCCCUUUCAGGUCAAUGAAGCUGAUCUCCCCGUGCAGAAGCGGGGAUAACAACAUAAGACGAGAAGACCCUAUGGAGCUUAAAACGCAAGAAUAGAUCAAAUAAUUAUCCUACAUUAAUAAGAUAUAGACAACUGACUCCUAUUCUAGUGUUUUUGGUUGGGGCGACCGCGGGGUAAAACAAACCCCCCGUGCAGAAUGAAAACACACAUCCUCCUAUUUAAGGGCGACAGCUUUAGAAAUCAGAACCUCUGACUAACAGAUCCGGGUAACCGAUUAACGAACCAAGUUACCCUAGGGAUAACAGCGCAAUCCUCUUUUAGAGCCCAUAUCGACAAGAGGGUUUACGACCUCGAUGUUGGACCAGGACAUCCUAAUGGUGCAGCUGCUAUUAAGGGUUCGUUUGUUCAACGAUUAAAGUCCU
rnacentral:rRNA from 1 species